rnacentral:rRNA from 1 species
GAUGAACGCUGGCGGUGUGCCUAAUACAUGCAAGUCGAGCGAACAGACGAGGAGCUUACUCCUCUGACGUUAGCGGCGGACGGGUGAGUAACACGUGGAUAACCUACCUAUAAGACUGGGAUAACUUCGGGAAACCGGAGCUAAUACCGGAUAACAUGUUGAACCGCAUGGUUCAACAGUGAAAGACGGUCUUGCUGUCACUUAUAGAUGGAUCCGCGUCGCAUUAGCUAGUUGGUAAGGUAACGGCUUACCAAGGCAACGAUGCGUAGCCGACCUGAGAGGGUGAUAGGCCACACUGGAGCUGGGACACGGUCCAGGCUCCUACGGGAGGCAGCAGUAGGGAAUCGUCCGCAAUGGGCGAAAGCCUGACGGAGCAACGCCGCGUGAGUGAAGAAGGUCUUCGGAUCGUAAAGCUCUGUUAUUAGGGAAGAACAAAUGUGUAAGUAACUAUGCACGUCUUGACGGUACCUAAUCAGAAAGCCACGGCUAACUACGUG